UUGAAACAUUCUCUACUGAAC
rnacentral:miRNA from 1 species